UACGUAGGUGGCAAGCGUUGUCCGGAUUUACUGGGCGUAAAGAGCGCGCAGGCGGUUGGAUAAGUCGAAUGUGAAAGCCCCCGGCUCAACUGGGGAGGGUCAUUCGAUACUGUCCGACUCGAAGGCAGGAGAGGGAAGCGGAAUUCCCGGUGUAGUGGUGAAAUGCGUAGAUAUCGGGAGGAACACCAGUGGCGAAGGCGACUACCUGGCCUGUUCUUGACGCUGAGGCGCGAAAGCUAGGGGAGCAAACGGG
rnacentral:rRNA from 1 species